UUCACGUGAAAGAAAUGUGAAGGCCGAGAGUCACAGCUGACAGCGAGCCAGCAAGCCACCGAGGUUCAGGUGGCUUCCGCUAUGCCAUCCACCGUAGUUCUUAUUGGUCCAAGAUGUCUGUGGGACUGUCGCCACCACACUGGUGUUCUGAGUAGCCGGGAAGUGGGGAUGGCAUGAAGACGAGGCAUGCCCACUCCAGAAGGAUGUCUGUUUGCUUCUCAAUCCAAUUGGCUGCAAAUUGGAUGUCACACUUAGCUGCCGUGGAAGCUGGGAAAUAGUUCAUAUUUUUAGCCCCCAGUAGGGAUUUUGUUACUAAAGGGAAAGAGACAUGCUGGGCUAGGUGCCCAGCAAUCUGCCAAACUUGGGGAACUGACAGAGCUGGGCCCCGUGUGGUCUAGAGGGUUGGGUGUGCCUCCCUGAAGAAAAGAUGGUUCAACAAGGCCAGAACAGGAAUUUUGGAGAAAGUGAGUGACUUCCUCGGAUGAUGGGGAAGGAGGAGUCGGAAUCAACUUGGAACAAGGGGAGAUCUGGGGGAAAUGGCUCUUCAUGGGUGUUCUAGUGCUGGGGAACAGGCUCCUAGCAGAAACAGAAUACCUGUCUGCCUGCCCUCUGAGCCAGGGCUCCUUUCAGUCGCUGCUGAGAGCCUGGUCAGCACCAGAGGAACCGUCUUUGACCUGACCUCUAGCACAGGUGCAUUUGUGGUGAUAAGACCAAGUGUGUACAGGGACACUAUCUUCAGACUCAGACCUGGACCAGAUAUUGCUCCACCUGAGAGUGGGGAGGCCUGGCCCAGACCUUGCUGGGAAGGAAAAGCCACUCAGCAAAUACCUACUCAGAUGUGAGGAGCACAGAGGAGGGUCUCACCCCAGGAUGCUCCACUGGCAGAGAAGACGUGUUGCUGAGCUUGGGGGAACUGCCUCCCAGGAAUCUGGAAGCACAAGACCUCUCCGCUCCUUCUUCAGCACCAUGUCUGCUUC